rnacentral:rRNA from 1 species
ACCAUGGGAGUGGGUUGCAAAAGAAGUAGGUAGCUUAACCUUCGGGAGGGCGCUUACCACUUUGUGAUUCAUGACUGGGGUGAAGUCGUAACAAGGUAACCGUAGGGGAACCUGCGGUUGGAUCACCUCCUUACCUGAAAGAAGC